UACAGAGGUCUCAAGCGUUGUUCGGAAUCACUGGGCGUAAAGGGUGCGUAGGUGGCGUGGCAAGUCAGAUGUGAAAGCCCGGGGCUCAACCUCGGAACUGCAUCCGAUACUGCCAUGCUAGAGUACUGAAGGGGUGACUAGAAUUCUCGGUGUAGCAGUGAAAUGCGUAGAUAUCGAGAGGAAUACCAAAGGCGAAGGCAGGUUACUGGGAAGUUACUGACACUGAGGCACGAAGGCCAGGGG
rnacentral:rRNA from 1 species